rnacentral:rRNA from 1 species
CGGCGUGCCUAACACAUGCAAGUCGGAGCGGGGACUUAUGGAAUGAAGCUUCGGCAGAUGAAGUAAGUUCUAGCGGCGGACGGGUGAGUAACGCGUGAGUAACCUGCCUAUCACUGGGAAUAACGCAUCGAAAGGUGUGCUAAUACCGCAUGAGACCACAAUGUCGCAUGACGAAGGGGUCAAAGAUUUAUUGGUGAUAGAUGGGCUCGCGUCUGAUUAGCUAGUUGGUGAGGUAACGGCCCACCAAGGCGACGAUCAGUAGCCGACCUGAGAGGGUGAUCGGCCACAUUGGAACUGAGAAACGGUCCAAACUCCUACGGGAGGCAGCAGUGGGGAAUAUUGGGCAAUGGGGGAAACCCUGACCCAGCAACGCCGCGUGAAGGAAGAAGGUCUUCGGAUCGUAAACUUCUAUCCUUGGUGAAGAAAAAUGACAGUACCUGUGGAGGAAGCCCCGGCUAACUACGUG